GGGGGUGUAGCUCAGCUUCGGUUAGAGCGCUGGCCUGUCAAGCCAGAGGUCGCGAGUUCAAGUCUCGUCACUCCCGCCA
rnacentral:tRNA from 1 species